UCACAAGAGGGCUCGAGUGGAGCUGGAGAGAGCGGCCAGCACCAGUGCCAGGAACUAUGAGCGCGAGGUUGACCGCAACCAGGAGCUCCUGACCCGCAUCCGGCAGCUUCAGGAGCGUGAGGCCGGGGCGGAGGAGAAGAUGCAGGAGCAGCUGGAGCGCAGCAGGCAGUGUCAGCAGAGCCUGGAUGCUACCAGCAAGAGGCUGCGUGAGAAAGAGGACAGCCUGGCCCAGGCCGGCGAGACCAUCAACACACUGAAGGGGAGGAUCUCGGAACUGCAGUGGAACGUGAUGGAUCAGGA